AUUUUCCGGUUGAUCCUGCCGGAGGUUACUGCUAUCGAGGUUCGACUAAGCCAUGCGAGUCGAAUGUAGCAAUACAUGGCGUACUGCUCAGUAACACGUGGACAACCUGCCCUUAGGUUGGGUAUAAACCCGGGAAACUGGGUAUAAUCCCCUAUAAGUCUCGGCUGCUGGAAUGCACCGAGAUUAAAAGCUCCGGCGCCUAAGGAUGGGUCUGCGGCCUAUCAGGUAGUAGUGAGUGUAGCGUACCUACUAGCCUACGACGGGUACGGGUUGUGAGAGCAAGAGCCCGGAGAUGGAUUCUGAGACACGAAUCCAGGCCCUACGGGGUGCAGCAGGCGCGAAAACUUUACAAUGCUGGCAACGGCGAUAAGGGAACCUCGAGUGCCAGGUUACAAAUCUGGCUGUCGAGAUGCCUAAAAAGCAUUUCAUAGCAAGGGCCGGGCAAGACCGGUGCCAGCCGCCGCGGUAACACCGGCGGCUCGAGUGGUAACCGUUAUUAUUGGGUCUAAAGGGUCUGUAGCCGGCCGGAUAAGUCUCUUGAGAAAUCUGGCAGCUUAACUGUCAGGCUUUCAGGAGAUACUGUCUGGCUCGAGGCCGGGAGAGGUGAGAGGUACUUCAGGGGUAGGGGUGAAAUCUUGUAAUCCUUGAAGGACCACCAGUGGCGAAGGCGUCUCACCAGAACGGACCUGACGGCAAGGGACGAAAGCUAGGGGCACGAACCGGAUUAGAUACCCGGGUAGUCCUAGCCGUAAACGAUACUCGCUAGGUGUCGGCCACGGUGCGACCGUUGUCGGUGCCGUAGGGAAGCCGUGAAGCGAGCCACCUGGGAAGUACGGCCGCAAGGCUGAAACUUAAAGGAAUUGGCGGGGGAGCACCACAACGGGUGGAGCUUGCGGUUUAAUUGGAUUCAACGCCGGAAAU
rnacentral:rRNA from 1 species